rnacentral:sRNA from 13 species
GCUGGGCAUGGUGGCGCGUGCCUCUAAUCCCAGCUACUCAGGAGGCUGAGGCAGGAGAAUUGCUUGAACCCAGGAGGCGGAGGUUGCAGUGAGCCGAGAUUGUGCCACUGCACUCCAGUCUGGUGGCUGGCGACGGAGUGAGACUCUGUCUCAAAAAAAAAAAAAAAAUUUUUUUUUUUUCUUUGUUUUGAGACGGAAUUUUGCUCUUGUUGUCCAGGCUGGAGUGCAGUGGCACGAUCUCUGCUCACGGCAGCCUCUGCCUCCCGCGAACAAGCGAGUCUCCUGCCUCAG